rnacentral:rRNA from 1 species
ACAUACGACCAUAGGGUGUGGAAAACAGGGCUUCCCGUCCGCUCAGCCGUACUUAAGCCACACGCCGGGAGGUUAGUAGUUGGGUGGGUGACCACCAGCGAAUCCCUUCUGUUGUAUGU